CAGCAGCCGCGGUAAUACGUAGGUGGCAAGCGAUGUUCGGAAUUAUUGGGCGUAAAGGGCGCGUAGGCGGUUUGACAAGUCUUAUGUGAAAUCUUCGGGCUCAACUCGAAGUCUGCAUGGGAAACUGUCGGGCUUGAGUAUGGGAGAGGUGAGUGGAAUUUCCGGUGUAGCGGUGAAAUGCGUAGAUAUCGGAAGGAACACCUGUGGCGAAAGCGGCUCACUGGACCAUAACUGACGCUGAGGCGCGAAAGCUAGGGGAGCAAACAGGAUUAGAUACCCCUGUAGUCCCUGUCUCUUAUAC
rnacentral:rRNA from 1 species